rnacentral:rRNA from 1 species
UACGGAGGGGGCUAGCGUUGUUCGGAAUUACUGGGCGUAAAGCGCACGUAGGCGGCUUUGUAAGUUAGAGGUGAAAGCCCGGGGCUCAACUCCGGAAUUGCCUUUAAGACUGCAUCGCUAGAAUUGUGGAGAGGUAAGUGGAAUUCCGAGUGUAGAGGUGAAAUUCGUAGAUAUUCGGAAGAACACCAGUGGCGAAGGCGACUCACUGGACGACUGUUGACGCUGAGGUGCGAAAGCGUGGGGAGCAAACAGG